rnacentral:rRNA from 1 species
AAAUAUAAUUCCAGUCUAUGGCCAAGCCCGAUCCCGUCUGAUUUCGGAAGCUAAGCAGGGUUGGGCCUGGUUAGUACUUGGAUGGGAGACCACCUAAGAAGAUCAGGUGUUGUAGGCG